CAUCCUUGGGUGAGGAUUAAAAGAAAAAAAAUGUAUAACUUUCCCUUUCCUUCUAGGAGGGUCUGAGAAUCUCCUUCCACAGCAGCCAUGCCCCCUGUACCUCGAGGUGCCAACACUCCCCACAUGCUCCACGCAGAGCCCCCAGCACCAAGUCUCCAUGUCUCCCCAGAGCACAAGCCUUCAGGGAUCAUUCCAGGACCCCUGCCAGAAUUCACUCAACAAUUCCCUUUAAAGCAACUUAAAUCUUAUCCUGCCUUCUUUACCUUUGUCCUUAACAAUCAAUGCUGUGAAAUCGCUAGUUUGACAGGCCCUUCAGGGGGAGGGGAGUGUCUCCUUGACCACAGGAGCACCUGGUUACAGCCGGCAUCCUGGUAACCAUCACCAGGGACUGGGAGUGCUUCUGGGAACAGCAGCAGCCAGCAGGCGGGGGCAGAUCCUCUCUGCUAUAUUUACAGAAGCCAAGAAUGAAAAGGCUUUAGGUUAGAAUGCCUCCAUGCAGUAUCUACAUCUGAAAGGCAGCCAUUCAGCCGGAAGAAAUGACUGGCAGGACAGCCCCAGGCCGGCCAGACCUCCCACAGACUUUUCUUGUUUGGUGAAGCCAGUAUGAAUGGUUUCUUUGCAGGAGCAGCUGCCUGGGUUCCAAGGAAUCGAACCUGAGACCCUUCAGUAUGUGGGCCCAUGCUC